rnacentral:rRNA from 1 species
UACAGAGGGGGCAAGCGUUGUUCGGAAUUACUGGGCGUAAAGGGCGCGUAGGCGGCCUUCUAAGUCGAACGUGAAAUCCCCGGGCUCAACCCGGGAACUGCGUCCGAUACUGGAAGGCUUGAAUUCGGGAGAGGGAUGUGGAAUUCCAGGUGUAGCGGUGAAAUGCGUAGAUAUCUGGAGGAACACCGGUGGCGAAGGCGGCAUCCUGGACCAACACUGACGCUGAGGAGCGAAAGCCAGGGGAGCAAACGGG